UUGUCAAUGUGAGACUUCCACAUAAGAUGAAUUCAUCAAAUAAGCUCAAAAUCACAUAAUUUGUUCCACAAGAGGACAUAUUAUAUAUGUAAAACUUGAACAUACAUACCAAUAUCAUAUCUUAACCAGGUCCCACUGUCCCACGACUAUUAACAUUUCUCUUCAGUAAAGCAAAGAGCAGGAAAGAAGCCAUUGCAAUACCAGAGAAUUAAUUAUUUAUCAAACGCGGCUUUUGAUAACAUCAAGGCUAAUCUCAGUCGGAUCUGUUGCUUGCAGCUCAACCUGGAUGCCAUCUAGUUCCCUCUUGAAUCUGUCCUUGGAGCUUGCAUAAAUCAUUUUGCUCCUCACCAGGG
rnacentral:lncRNA from 1 species